UGCCUGUAUCCCUGAGAAAACCAAAUAAUAAUCGUCACCCACUCAUGCGUGUGUGGCAGCCCAAUUCAAAGCAAAUUUAAGAACUGAAAAAA
rnacentral:lncRNA from 1 species